CUCAUCAGGUGAGUGCCAGCAUAAAUAAGGUAGCCUGGGUAAACCACAUAGAGCCUGAAUAAUACGUUUCUUCCUUUUUGGUAGGAAGUAGGGCAGGUGAGCACUUCGGGACUUCCCUUUUGGCAAGUUCCUGCUGGGGAUUAACCAUUAAUCCUUCCCCUCCAUCAGUCCAAAGAUCAGCAAUAGAAUCAAGGCUGCAGUCACCACAAUCUCACCAGUAAUCAGGUGCAGCAGUACUGAUUUGCAUGCAGGCCUCGAUCUCAGUCAGUCCCCAGGAGGGAACUCCAGAAGGCUGAGUUAGAAGACGCAGAGUGGCUCCACCAGCUCACAUGCCUCCAGAGGAUUCCCAGACCUUCCUCUGACAGCCAUAGCAGCUUGUCUCUUCUGUGGUCACAAGAAGAAUGGGAGAAAUCAGAACUCGGUCAAGGCCAAAGGCUAGUUCCACACGAGCCCUAGUGCGUCUCUACUAAAUGAGAGCAACCGACAGCUUUAGGAACUAAAAGUCGACAGUUUUUCUCCCAGCCUUAUCCUGGCUGCUGUUUCUUCCUCUGACAGAUAAUUAUACUGUGGGGUGUGGCGGUGUGUGCCUGUAAUCCCAGCCCUCGGGAGGCUUAGGUCAGAGGGCUGCCGCAAGCUCAAGACUAGUCUGGUCUGCUCAACAGGGGCUGGAGAGAUGGCUCAGAGGUUAAGAGCACUGGCUGCUCUUCCAGAGGUCCUGAGUUCAAUUCUCAGCAUCUUCAUGGUGUCUCACAGCAGCUGUCUAUGACUGGUUGCAGAGGAUCCAAGCCCCCUUUAGGCACCCAUGUGGUAUACAGACAUAUGUGCAGGCAGAACACCCAUACAUGUGAAAUAAAAAUAAAAUCCUACAAAACACAGUUAGGUUACUGCUCCUGAUAAUAUUUCCCAAAGCAACCGCCUCCCUCCUACCCUCAGUCCCCCUCACACACACCCCACACACCCCCCACACACCCACACACAGGGUUUUUCUGUGUAGCCUUAGCUGUCCUGGAUCUAGCUCUGUAGACCAGGCUGGCCUCGAACUCACAGAGAUCCACCAGCUUCUGCUUCCCGAGUGCUGGGAUUAAAGGCAUGAGCUACCACCGCCCGCCUCCCAGAACAACUUCAAGUCUUAUAAACAUCUUGGAAAGCAAAAAUGCGGAGUGAACAUGGAGCACUAUUAGUUAUUUCCAGCCUUUAGGCUUCCUGUGAAAAGACUUGCCUAUUCCAGUAGGGGCCAGAAGAGGGCACACCAAGCCAGGGAGAUGGAGA